ACCACCACCACCAGCAGCGCAUCCAAGCCAAGCGGCCUCCUCUUCCCGGGCAAAGCAGAGCAAGCAGAAGCAGUGCAACAAUGGCCGUGGGGUUCCGUCGGACGCUGACCACGCUGGCGUCGCCCAAGUCGAUGGCUCCGUCGUUCCUGCUGGACUGCGCGCGGCCCAAGAAGCUGUCGUACGCGCGGGUGCGGUCGACCAGCCUCCCCGUGCGGCUGCACCCGCUGGCGGCGGCGCUGCACGAGUCGGCGCGCGCGCUGCUGGCGUGGGCGGACGCGCCGGCGCAGACGGGGCCCGCGUGGGUGGCGGACGGCGCCGGGCGCGCGGGGCGCGUGCUGUCGGGGCUGGCGGACCUGCUCCACCACCCGCAGGCCCGCGACGCGCUCCGGCGGCACCCCUGGACGACGGAGCAGCUGCUGGACGACCUGCUCCUGCUGGCCGACCUCCACGGGUGCUUCCGCGAGUCGCUGGUGGCGCUGACGCAGCUCCUGGCCGAGACGCACGCGGCGCUGCGCAGGCGCGACGGCGCCCGCCUCGCCGCCGCGCUGCGGGCGCAGCGGCGGUCGGCGCGGGAGGUGUCCCGCCUGGCGUCCUCCGCGCGGGACCUCUCCCACCGCGCGGCGCCCGACGACGACUCCGACGAGGCCACCCUCGCCGACGCCUUCGCGGCCGCGACGGCUGCCGUGGCCGCCGCCUCGGCCGCGGUCUUCGCCGGCGUGUCCGCCGCGUCCGCCGAGUCGGCGGCCAGCGCCGCGCCGUCCCCGAGGACCCCGACGCCCUACUCCCCCGCGCGCACCCCCGGCAGCCCGAUGUGGCUCGUGACCGACCUGCUCCGGCGGCGGCGGACCGUGUCGUUCGAGGACUCGUGCGGCGAGGAGGAGGAGGAGCGGAAGGCGGCCAUGGGACGGGUGCGCGGGCUCGAGGCGUGCGUCGACGCCGCCGAGUCGGGGUGCCAGGAGGUGUACCGCGCGCUCGUGAACGCCAGAGUCUCCCUGCUCAACCUGCUCACGCCCACGUUCUGACUCUGACGCCAUCUGCUCAUAAAAAUUUCUUGGCGGGCCAGACGUUUUUGCCAUCUUGAGUGAGUCGUUUGCGGUGUGUAAAUGAUGUAAAUACCCCCCCUAGUGCUUCGGAUUGCAAAGGGAACUAGUCCUGGUUAGCCGAGAACCCUUGCGGCGCUUUGUCUCCCAUUUCCGUGGCCCUCUUCUCUGCUUCUGCACAAGUGGCCAAGUAGACAGACAUUUCGAUGGUUUUGCAAGAAAAAUUAGCAGGCGAGCGGAUGACAAGAGUUGUUUCAAUUGCACAAUGCAUUAGUACUACAUUGUGAAGAGUUGUUUCAUCAAUUGCACAAUGCCGUUUCCAG
rnacentral:misc_RNA from 1 species